GUCGUAACAAGGUUUCCGUAGGUGAACCUGCGGAAGGAUCAUUACCGAGUUCUCGGGCUUCGGCUCGAAUCUCCCACCCUUUGUGAACGUACCUCUGUUGCUUUGGCGGCUCUUUGCCGCGAGGAGGCCCUCGCGGGCCCCCCCGCGCGCUUUCCGCCAGAGGACCUUCAAACUCCAGUCACCUAAACGUCGACGUCUGAUAAACAAGUUAAUAAACUAAAACUUUCAACAACGGAUCUCUUGGUUCUGGCAUCGAUGAAAAACGCAGCGAAAUGCGAUAAGUAAUGUGAAUUGCAGAAUUCAGUGAAUCAUCUAAUCUUUGAACGCACAUUGCGCCCCCUGGCAUUCCGGGGGGCAUGCCUGUUCGAGCGUCAUUACAACCCUCAAGCUCUGCUUGGUAUUGGGCGCCGUCCUCUCUGCGGACGCGCCUUAAAGACCUCGGCGGUGGCUGUUCAGCCCUCAAGCGUAGUAGAAUACACCUCGCUUUGGAGCGGUUGGCGUCGCCCGCCGGACGAACCUUCUGAACUUUUCUCAAGGUUGACCUCGGAUCAGGUAGGGAUACCCGCUGAACUUAAGCAUAUC
rnacentral:rRNA from 1 species